rnacentral:rRNA from 1 species
UACGUAGGGUGCGAGCGUUGUCCGGAAUUAUUGGGCGUAAAGGGCUCGUAGGCGGUUUGUCGCGUCGGGAGUGAAAUCCGACUGGCUUAAACCUGGUGGCUUGACUUUCGAUGACGGGCAGACUGGAGGUAUGGCAGGGGAGAACGGAAGUUCCUGGGUGUACGCGGUGAAAUGCGAUAGAGAAUGCGGAGGAAGCACCAGUGGCG